rnacentral:rRNA from 1 species
GUCUAUGGCCAUGCCACCCUGAACUUGCCCAAUCUCGUCUGAUCUUGGAAGUUAAGUAGGGUCGGGCUUGGUUAGUACUUGGAUGGGAGACCACCUAAGAAGACCAGUGCUGUAGGUG